UGAUCUCGCAGAGUACAUUGGAGGGCAGUCUGGUGCCAGCAGCCGCGGUAAUUCCAGCUCCAAUAGCGUAUAUUAAACUUGUUGCAGUUAAAAAGCUCGUAGUUGAACUUUUGCGUUGACUUUUUCCUGCUUUUGCUGGUUUUUGUCUUCGCUUUUUCUUUUUACUUUGAGAAAAUUAGAGUGUUUAUCGCAGACUUUUGUCUUGAAUACUUCAGCAUGGAAUAAUAGAGUAGGACUUUGGUUCUAUUUUGUUGGUUUUGGGACCUUGGUAAUGGUUAAUAGGAACGGUUGGGGGCAUUCGUAUUUAACUGUCAGAGGUGAAAUUCUUAGAUUUGUUAAAGACGAACUACUGCGAAAGCAUUUGCCAAGGACGUUUUCAUUAAUCAAGAACGAAAGUUAGGGGAUCGAAGACGAUCAGAUACCGUCGUAGUCCUAACCAUAAACUUGGCCGACUAAA
rnacentral:rRNA from 1 species